UACGUAGGUGGCUAGCGUUGUCCGGAUUUACUGGGCGUAAAGAGCGCGCAGGCGGUCGUUCAAGUCGAGUGUGAAAGCCCCCGGCUCAACUGGGGAGGGUCACUCGAUACUGAUCGACUCGAAGGCAGAAGAGGGAAGCGGAAUUCCCGGUGUAGUGGUGAAAUGCGUAGAUAUCGGGAAGAACACCCGUGGCGAAGGCGGUUCUCUGGGACGGUACUGACGCUGAGACGCGAAAGCGUGGGGAGCGAACAGG
rnacentral:rRNA from 1 species